GUUACAUGUAUCCUUCUCGCUCACCCAUUUGCUAUUACAUUUUUUUAUUGUUGAUGCAACUAUUAUUGCUUUAUGUUAAGGGGAUGGCUAUCGUGAGCUCCGUGGUGUUGCUGCAAGGCAUUACGAUAAAAUGAAAGAAUACUAUUAGAAAGCUGCCUUUGCAUAUUCGAAGGAUGACAGGUCAUAUGCUUCUUACCUUGCUGAGGAGGGGAAACAUUAUCGAGAACUGGGUCGCAUAGAAGACGAGAAGGCCAGCAGGAAUAUAUUUGAAGCCAGAAAUAAGCAUAUAACGAACACAGUAACCAUCGACUUGCAUGGCCAACAUGCUAUGAACCUUCUCAAAAUUCACAUGAUGA